AACGAACGUUAGCGGCGCGCCUAACACAUGCAAGUCGUGCGAGAAAGGGCUUCGGCCCCGGUAAAGCGGCGCACGGGUGGGUAACACGUAGGUAAUCUGCCCUCGAGUGGUGGACAACCCUCCGAAACGAGGGCUAAUACAACCUAAGACCACGAAUCUCCGUAUUCGCGGCCAAAGCGGGCCUCUGCAUGCAAGCCCGCGCUUGAGGCUGAGCCUGCGGCCCAUCAGCUAGUUGGGAGGGUAACGGUCUACCAGGGCGGAGACGGGUAGCUGGUCUGAGAGGAUGAACAGCCAAACUGGAACUGAGACACGGUCCAGACUCCUACGGGAGGCAGCAGUGGGGAAUCUUGGGCAAUGGGCGAAAGCCGGACGCAGCGACGCCUCGUGAGCGAUGAAGGCCUUCGGGUUGUAAAGCUCUGUGGGGAGGAAAGAAUAAGGGCGAGCUAAUAUCUCGUCCGAUGACGGUACCUCCUUAGCAAGCACCGGCUAACUCUGUGCCAGCAGCCGCCGUAAAAC
rnacentral:rRNA from 1 species